UCAGCUGCAGUGGGGGACAGCUGCACAACGGCCCAGCGUGUCUGUGUGUUUACCCAGGGGACUGCCGCGUGGCCCAUGCCGAGCAGAAACUGAUGGAUGACCUUCUGAACAAAACCCGUUACAACAACCUGAUCGGCCCACCCGCCAGCUCCUCACAGCUCAUCUCCAUCGAGACGGAGCUCUUCCUGGCCCAGUGCAUCAGCGUGCCCCACCCUACUUUUCUCCCCCAGCUUGCUCAACAGGUGACCUUACAGGCUCCCUACUCUUUGGGGGGAAUAAGAACCAGACUGGGGAACUGACGGGUACAGAGGCCCAGGUGUAGGCGCAGGACCACAGGCAGUGCAGCGUCUACUGAGCCAGACACAGCAGAGAGAGCCUGCUCUAACUCUCCUGUAAACCUCCAUGAAUCAUGCAGGCGGCUGAUCAGAUCCCUGGACUCUCCUGGAAUGAGAGACAUUCAGAUGAGGCCCAAAGGACUCCCCCUAAAGUCCUGUCAAAGUGCCAGGUUGAAGGAUGACGGGGUGCCAGAUUCCCACCUUCCAACUGCUUGACAGCAUGCUGGCUGUAAUAGAGUGCCGUCUGAAGCUCCGUUUUCUGACAUGUAAGGAUUCGUAUGGUAUGAACCUGGGCCUUUGGGAGAAGAGACAAGCAAAUGCUGAAAGAGAAGCAAAGAAACAUUCUCCAGAGGACAGGAGGGAACGUCACACCCUCCACUCACCUCUAGCUCCCUCCUUAGGGCUUCCUGAUGUUGGAGGCUUGCCGUCUUUUCCUAUAGAAAGAGGAAGACAGAGUUCUUACUAGGCGGAGGCAGAGAUGGCACAGCAAGAGACAUGCCCCCAGAAUGGCACCACUGCCCCAGGACAGGCCCACCCAUGGGACCAGUUUAUCAGGGACCCUGUUGGGAUGGGGUGGAAUAUGGGAGGUGAGCCUUCUUCACCAGGCUGGGAGUGGGCGAGAUGAGACUGGGGCCUCUACAUCUGAGUGCCCCCAAACCCAGCGGUCAUGU